GGGCAAGAUACCUCUGUCUUCCCGGUCAGUGAAGCUGGAAAUUUCAGACCCCUCCAGCUGCAUACCAAAACUGAGAACUGGUUGCAUGUACCUCCCAUCCCCAGCUGGACUCCUCUAGCUAGACUGUAAGCUCUUUGAGAGUGGGGACAGUUUCCAAAUCAUCUAUUCCUUGUUUGUUGGAUGAAGGAAACAAUGAGGACUUACUGUGAGGAAACAUCUAGCUUCAGCACCAGUAGUUGUCGGGAGUCUCAAGAAUGGUCCUUGACCUCUUUGCAAAAUUUAGUUCCAACAGAUUUAAUAAAAGAGCAGGACUUGGAAGAAGCAUUCAGAGGUAUGGUCAGGAUGAGAAUGUAAGCACUUCAGAUGGGGCCAAGAAAGGCAAACAGAAAAAUCUUGAAAGCUAUUCAUUUUUUUCUCCUUUAUUAGUUUUAAUCCAGUUCUAGAUUGGAAUACAAAGUAUGCAUCAAGUAAUUAGAGGGCAGCCUAAUACCUCAUUGAGCAGCACUUCAUGAGUUGUUAAAUAGCCGGUGAAAAAGUUUGGAAAGGGGCUCCUUUCAAAGUAUGUAAAGGCUCUGAGAAGUCCUGCAGUAAAAACUGGUUUAACUGUGUUUAACCCAGCCUUUCCCAACAUUUACUUGAUUAUAAAAUCCUUUUGUAUGGAGCACCUAUUAACAUGCAGCAGAGACACAUCAUUUGGAUUAAAAUAGGAUAAAAAUAGUCUGAUUCGAGGGCAGAUGUUUCACUUAGUAAAGAUUAUUCUGAAGUAGUAGAGAGUUAAUGAACAUCUUAAGCAACCUGAAAAGCAGUGUCAGAAGAUUUUUAAAAUGCUGUCAAGAACUCAUAAAAUAUACAUUAUAUUGUGUAACAAUAUUGUAAAAUGCUGUAUGAUACAUUAAAAUCAUCAGAUUAUACCCUAUUACCCUACAAUCUUCUAAUCACAUAUUUAUACACUUUACAUUAUAUCUGCAAAAUGACUCCUGUUAUAAAUAUUAUGUGUGAAUUAUAGAAGUAUGCUAUAACCCUAACUCUAAAGGAUUCCAUGAAAUAAGGAAGCAACAGCUUCCGAUAAUGAGAGUAGCAGGGCAAAAGAAUGGUUAAAAAUUAUAGCAUCAGAGAAUUCUGGAACUGAAAGGAACCUCAGGAUCAUUUUAGUCCAAUCCCCUCAUUUUAGAUAAAAGGAAGCUGUCAAUCAUUUAUGAGGUCUCCAAGUAAAAGAACAGGUGGCAAGAGUGUUGAAAUGUUGGGGAACAUCUGGGAUAGCAUUUUCCUUUAUGUAAGAGGUAGUCAGAAAGGGUCAAGUGCCCUAGGAAGAUGAGGUUAGAAUUUUGUGAGAAAGAAGUCUGAAUAAGAGAUGAUUGACAUCCUCAUCUAUGUCAGUGAGAAGUGUGAGCAAUUGUACAAGCAAGGAAAAUGAUAAGCAUGAGACAGUCACCUAACGAGACCAAGGGAUUAUGGGAAGGGGAGGGUACUGUAGCCAAGAAGCUUCCAGACAGUGACGUACACUUAACUGAUGGCUCACAAUAACUACUUACCUAAAGUAAGUAGUCCCCUAUCUUCUCUGAAACAGCCCUGCUCAUCUAGAACCCUGCUCGGAUCCAAUUCAGCCACAGUAAUGCUCUGCAGAGUAUAUGAGUCUCCGCACUGAAGAUGAUUGAAUCAGAAGUGAACAAUGGCCCAACUUCAACCUCCUCUCCUCUUUGGGAAAUACCUAAGCUGCGGUUGUGUCUAGAACUGCGAUCCCUUGCCAGCUGUCUUCUUCCUCUUCCGCUCAAGAGGAAGCUGCCUUUUUCCAGGUUAAGUGGAGGAUAUGUUCUCAAGGGAAAUGCUUUGCUGUCAGCCCAUAGAGUCAGGCUUCUGACAGAUUAUGUGGCCAAUUUGUCACUCACUGCCAAGAUCUUAAAAGUCUCUAUCGCAGAGUGUGCUUUGCACAUCUGUUGUAUUAUAAGCACAGUGUUAGCUCUCUCUGAAGCUGUCAAGAUAGGAGGAUGUUGCUAUGUUCUCUGAAACAGCCCCUCUGGGUGAUUUUUAAAUGGCAGAGUGUUGGGAUUCUGAAAUGAGGUGAGAUCCCAGAAGAACUAACAAAAACAUUGAAUGAAUAAGUCUGUCCUCCAACAUUAGCUGAGUGCUCAGUGUGCCCAGCAUUCUAGCAAUCAUAGUUCAUGUCUAUUAUAUCAUAAAUAUUAUGUCCAAGUCCCUUUAAAAUUGCUUUAACGUCUUAAACUAAUAACAGAAAGUAAAUUGGUAAAAAUGGUGGUAUGUUUCUGAUGAGACUUCUAGGCAUGUUUGUAAAAUGAGUUUAGGUGCCUGAAGGAAUAAAUAUUUAAAGUAUAAACAAUAAAGCCUUGAUACAUUUCUUUACUGAUACUUAGAACUGGGGGCGGGGGAUCAAACAGGGUUAGGGUAAAAGGGAGUGUGGAGGACCAUGAGAUGUACCCAGGGAUCCUCUUUCUAUGACUGUUACC